rnacentral:rRNA from 1 species
UACAGAGGUCUCAAGCGUUGUUCGGAUUCAUUGGGCGUAAAGGGUGCGUAGGUGGCGCCGUAAGUCAGGUGUGAAAUUUCGGAGCUUAACUCCGAAACUGCAUUUGAUACUGCGGUGCUUGAGGACUGGAGAGGAGACUGGAAUUUACGGUGUAGCAGUGAAAUGCGUAGAGAUCGUAAGGAAGACCAGUGGACGAAGGCGGGUCUCUGGACAGUUCCUGACACUGAGGCACGAAGGCCAGGGGAGCAAACGGG